GUACUGCCGAAGAGUCUUAAACAAGGACGAAACAGCUGUCCAGUAC
rnacentral:hammerhead_ribozyme from 1 species